UACGAAGGGGGCUAGCGUUGCUCGGAAUUACUGGGCGUAAAGGGCGCGUAGGCGGCGCAUUUAGUCAGGCGUGAAAGCCCCGGGCUCAACCUGGGAACCGCGCUUGAGACUGGAGAACUAGAGUUCGGGAGAGGAUGGUGGAAUUCCCAGUGUAGAGGUGAAAUUCGUAGAUAUUGGGAAGAACACCGAUGGCGAAGGCAGCCAUCUGGACCGACACUGACGCUGAGGCGCGAAAGCGUGGGGAGCAAACAGG
rnacentral:rRNA from 1 species